UCACAAGAUUGAAUAGGACCGGGCUAAGAGGGUCACCCUGUCUCACUCCACGGAGCAUCCUUAUCGGUCUUGU